rnacentral:rRNA from 1 species
CAGUCGCCGCGGGAAUACGGAGGAUCCAAGCGUUAUCCGGAAUCAUUGGGUUUAAAGGGUCCGUAGGCGGUCUUGUAAGUCAGUGGUGAAAGCCCAUCGCUCAACGGUGGAACGGCCAUUGAUACUGCAGGACUUGAAUUAUUGGGAAGUAACUAGAAUAUGUAGUGUAGCGGUGAAAUGCUUAGAGAUUACAUGGAAUACCAAUUGCGAAGGCAGGUUACUACCAAUUGAUUGACGCUGAUGGACGAAAGCGUGGGUAGCGAACAGGAUUAGAUACCCCUGUAGUCCCUGUCUCUUAUAU